GACGGAGGAUGCAAGCGUUAUCCGGAAUUAUUGGGCGUAAAGCGUCCGCAGGCGGCAGUUCAAGUCUGCUGUCAAAGACCGGGGCUUAACUUCGGAAAGGCAGUGGAAACUGAACAGCUAGAGUAUGGUAGGGGCAGAGGGAAUUCCAGGUGUAGCGGUGAAAUGCGUAGAUAUCUGGAGGAACACCGGUGGCGAAGGCGGCAUCCUGGACCGGCAUUGACGCUGAGGCGCGAAAGCCAGGGGAGCAAACGGG
rnacentral:rRNA from 1 species